CACACACAGAGAUUGCCCCUGCACACACACACAGAGCUAGCCCCUGCACACACACAGACUGCCCCUGCACACACAUACACACACAUACACACACAGAGACAGCCCCUGCACACACACACACCGACGGCCCCUGCACCCACACAGACUGCUCUUGCACACACACACACUCACACACAUACACAGAGACUGCCCUUGCACACACACACACAGAGACUACCCUUGCGCACACACAGAGACUGCCCCUGUACCCCACACAGACUGCCCCUGCUGCCUCUGCUUGCCUAUUUUUUUUUUUUUUGUAUUUUUAGUAGAGACGGGGUUUCACCGUGUCAGCCAGGAUGGUCUCGAUCUCCUGACCUUGUGAUCC
rnacentral:lncRNA from 1 species